GAUGAAGAACGCAGUGAAAUGCGAUAAGUAAUGUGAAUUGCAGAAUUCAGUGAAUCAUCGAAUCUUUGAACGCACAUUGCGCCCGCCAGUAUUCUGGCGGGCAUCCCUGUUCGAGCGUCAUUUCAACCAUCAAGCCCCAGGCUUGUGUUGGGGACCUGCGGCUGCCGCAGGCCCUGAAAACCAGUGGCGGGCUCGCUGUCACACCGGGCGUAGUAGAUUUUAUCUCGCUCAGGGCGUGCUGCGGGUUCCGGCCGUUAAAAAGCCUUUUUUACCCAAGGUUGACCUCGGAUCAGGUAGGAAGACCCGCUGAACUUAAGCAUAUCAAUAAGCGGAGGA
rnacentral:misc_RNA from 1 species